CAGCAGCCACGGUAAUACGUAGGGGGCAAGCGUUAUCCGGAUUUACUGGGUGUAAAGGGAGCGCAGACGGCAGUGCAAGUCUGAAGUGAAAGGCGUGGGCUCAACCCAUGAACUGCUUUGGAAACUGUAUAGCUUGAGUGUCGGAGGGGUAAGCGGAGUUCCUAGUGUAGCGGUGAAAUGCGUAGAUAUUAGGAGGAACACCGGAGGCGAAGGCGGCUUACUGGACGACAACUGACGUUGAGGCUCGAAGGCGUGGGGCGCAAACAGGAUUAGAUACCCGCGUAGUCCCUGUCUCUUAUAA
rnacentral:rRNA from 1 species